rnacentral:rRNA from 1 species
UACGUAGGGUGCGAGCGUUGUCCGGAAUUACUGGGCGUAAAGAGCUCGUAGGUGGUUUGUCGCGUUGUUCGUGAAAACCGGGGGCUUAACCCUCGGCGUGCGGGCGAUACGGGCAGACUUGAGUACUGCAGGGGAGACUGGAAUUCCUGGUGUAGCGGUGGAAUGCGCAGAUAUCGGGAAGAACACCCGUGGCGAAGGCGGCUCUCUGGAACGGUACUGACGCUGAGACGCGAAAGCGUGGGGAGCGAACAGG